rnacentral:lncRNA from 15 species
CUUCUCUUCUAUGACAGUUUUAUAUACUACCAAUACACGAUGUAACACCUUAAAACAGAUUAUAAUUGAGUUCUGUGUUUAAUACACCCCCAGGAAAAACCCAGGAAGCUCCAUGUAUGUCUUCUUCACCAAAUAAUCCAAAUAUAUAUGUCGUUGUUGUUAACUUAACUCUAGUAUAAAUACUGACUCUAUGUAGUGUUUGUCAGAACCAGUUUAAGUUUUCAAGCUUUAACAGACAAUUUCUUGUGAAUACACAAAAUAAUGAAUAGUUUAUGAAUUUUAAAGUAUGUAAAAUCCCAAUGGCCAGCAAGUCCACAACCCAUAUAUAGCAUACUGUAUAUAACAGUGACUGUUGCUGGUGCAAUCUGUGAUUCAUAAGGUUAUUUUAUUGUUAAUUCUGACAUUUUUUAGCACUGAUUAUUAUGCUUCUACAGAAUAGUAAUGUAAGUAAGUAAUGAUUGGCAGCUGUAUUCUAUCAGUGAUAACUACAGUAUAUUAUUUAAGUCAUGCCAGUUAGAGUUUGUCUAACCUAAUUUUGACUUUCUCUCUGAAUAAACUUCUGCAUUUUGUCAACUAAUACAUGAUUUGGCUGAAAACCAAAAUGAAAGUGAACAUGUCAAUGUAAAUUGGAUGUGGUGUCCUACUUUUUUACGUGCAGGGCUCAGAGGACUGAGCGCCAUAACCCUACAAAGAGCCAGUGUACAGGUGACACCAGCACAGCUGUGAUGAGUCAAGAUGUUACAAGUGAAAAUGGAAAUAAGGUGUCUAUCACAUUAGAAGAAGAUAUUUACAUCAACACCAACAUGAUCAGGGGGAAAGAUGAACCAUAUUCUCAUCGAGGACAUCGACAGAUAUCCAGUAGAAGCUCAGAGAAGCAGAAUGAGGAAAGCAGUGAUGUGCUUUACUCCAGUGUGAUUUGGAAGAGCAAGAGCAAGAAGAAGGGAGAACGUGCUGUGGACAGGAACCUGUCUGGUACCUCCUAUCUGGAGGAGGAGAGGUCCAUGGAGGGAGGCAUGAGCAGAAAUUACGUGAGCAAUGCACGGGAGAUGGAGAGUCUAUAUGGCAACACUGUGACUGGAAAAGAUGCAAAGAAGGCAGAGAAUAGUGAAUAUGCCCAGGUUCAAUUUAGAGACAAAAAUAUUGUGCAUAAAUAGAACUUGUUCUGUGUAACUUUUGUUUAAACUGUUUCAUUUGAUCAUUUGAUUGUAGCAGUGGUGUUCUUGGUAAUGACUGAAUUGUCAGUGUUUUGUCUUUUACAUGUAUAUAAAUUAAAUGGUCCAAGCACCUCUCUGACCAUUUCAUAAAAAUAAGGGUCAUUGGGCUGUAAAUCGAAUUGAAUUGUACAAUAAAGCAUCGUUGUUAAUGUUAAUGUGUUUCCACUCUAAGACAAUGACAAUUAAUGACAGUCCUAUACUAUCUUUAAGUUUGUAUAAAUGUCUCAAUUAGAUGUCUUAUAACACCAGGAGACAGAAUUUCUGAAUUGUGAAAUGAUUUGAUGAACUGUGCUAUUUCUAUAGCUGCAGAAGUCGACUGUGUAUGUGUACUAUCAUUUUCUCAAUACAUAUUAUUUCAUAGCCAGUCUGGAGAGUUUUCAGCAAAAUGACCUGGUAAGAUUUAAGAUUAUAUUGUAUUUUAAAAACAGCUUAGUUAGAAUAAUGGCUAAUUGUGAUUUAUAAAUUAUAAUAAAU